GCUGGCGGCGUGCCUAAUACAUGCAAGUCGAACGCUUCUUUCCUCCCGAGUGCUUGCACUCAAUUGGAAAGAGGAGUGGCGGACGGGUGAGUAACACGUGGGUAACCUACCCAUCAGAGGGGGAUAACACUUGGAAACAGGUGCUAAUACCGCAUAACAGUUUAUGCCGCAUGGCAUAAGAGUGAAAGGCGCUUUCGGGUGUCGCUGAUGGAUGGACCCGCGGUGCAUUAGCUAGUUGGUGAGGUAACGGCUCACCAAGGCCACGAUGCAUAGCCGACCUGAGAGGGUGA
rnacentral:rRNA from 1 species